rnacentral:rRNA from 1 species
UACGGAGAGCGCAAGCAUUAAUCGGAAUUAUUGGGCGUAAAGGGCGCGUAGGCGGGACGGUAAGUCAGAUGUGAAAUUCCGAAGCUCAACUUCGGAGCUGCAUUUGAAACUGCCAUUCUAAGAGGAUAGACGGAGAGAACGGAAUUCCAUGUGUAGCGGUGAAAUGCGUAGAUAUAUGGAAGAACACCUGUGGCGUAAGCGGUUCUCUAGUUUAUUUCUGACGCUGAGGCACGAGAGUGUGGGGAGCAAACAGG